rnacentral:rRNA from 1 species
CACGUAGGGCGCGAGCGUUGUCCGGAAUUAUUGGGCGUAAAGAGCUCGUAGGCGGCUUGUUGCGUCGACCGUGAAAACCCGGGGCUCAACUUCGGGCUUGCGGUCGAUACGGGCGGGCUAGAGUUCGGUAGGGGAGACUGGAAUUCCUGGUGUAGCGGUGAAAUGCGCAGAUAUCAGGAGGAACACCGGUGGCGAAGGCGGGUCUCUGGGCCGAUACUGACGCUGAGGAGCGAAAGCGUGGGGAGCGAACAGG